GACCGGCGUCGGCAGUAAUAAAGCCCGUUUCAAAAGCGUUCAAAAGCACGCGCCCGAUUACUGACAUUUGAACAUGUAAGAGCAGAACUAUUAAUACACCUCUCAGUCAAGGCGAUGACGACUGUGCUGCUGUAAGACACUGUGAAGCUUAUGACAUCUACGCCGCAGCAAGAUGUCUUUGGUCGCCGCUUCCUCCCCCCGAUGCUGUGAUGGAGUGGUGCUGAGGUGGUCAUCAUGACAUCAGAAUGACACCGCGACCGAUGGCGUUGGUUUUAGGGAGGGUGAGGGGAAACCAUGCAAGGUGGUGUCACACUGCUGUUACGGUGUUUGAGGAGAGUCCCGUCGUUAGGGUGUGUACCCGCACCCACCCGUUCAGUUCUGACUGUCCCAACGGUGCUGUGAAGACCAGCUCACAGGCACCGGGACGAGUCCGGCUCCUGUGAGCUCAGCGCUACCUGGCUUCUGCAGGUGAGUGAAGAGUUCCCUGGUGAAACGGCCCAGCUGCACAGCGUGCCAGAUUCCUGGAGCAGGAGUCCCAGUUACAAAUGAACACUGUUCAGUUAAAACGUGUGGAGUGAAGCAGGGAGACGACUGAACUCUACUGAUCUCUUCCAUCAAAGAAACGCCGCCUUUUCCAAAGCAAGACGCACAAGACGUGAGAUUCUCCAGCUGAUUGGGCCCCUUUUAGAUACCUGCACUACAGACGCACUGCACUUCCCUUGUUCGGAAAUCUAAGAGAAUUACCAACAGCCUCUUCUAGAAAAAAACUUUUUAAAACCCUGAAAAAUUCUGCAAAACAAUUAAAUCUUUAUUAUUCACUGACAUCCUCACUUCUGUCCCCCAACAAAUUAUAUUACAUUAUUUCAGCCUAUUACACAUAUGGGUAACAUUAAAUCUUUUAAAUAAACUUUUUAUGCCCA